AACGAACGCUGGCGGCAUGCCUAACACAUGCCAGUCGAACGAGACCUUCGGGUCUAGUGGCGCACGGGUGCGUAACGCGUGGGAACCUGCCCUUAGGUUCGGAAUAACUCCCCGAAAGGGGUGCUAAUACCGGAUAAUGUCUUCGGACCAAAGAUUUAUCUCCUUUGGAUGGGCCCGCGUUGGAUUAGCUAGUUGGUAGGGUAAAAGCCUACCAAGGCGACGAUCCAUAGCUGGUCUGAGAGGAUGAUCAGCCACACUGGGACUGAGACACGGCCCAGACUCCUACGGGAGGCAGCAGUGGGGAAUAUUGGACAAUGGGCGAAAGCCUGAUCCAGCAAUGCCGCGUGAGUGAUGAAGGCCUUAGGGUUGUAAAGCUCUUUUACCCGGGAUGAUAAUGACAGUACCGGGAGAAUAAGCGCCGGCUAACUCCGUG
rnacentral:rRNA from 1 species